GGCGGAUGCAGCGCCCCCUAGCGUCCACUUCCGGAACUUAACGUUUGUGGCAGGCUUAUUAGGCCCGGACAGUCUUCUUGGUCGUUUAUUUCUACGUUCAUUCGCAACAGGAGAUCCACCAAGUUGCCAGAGAGCUGGCUCACAGUAUGCCAUCUGUAUCGUCCGGUGACACUGAAAUGCCACCGGCGGCAUUGCCAUUGUCACAGUGAAGAAGACGCAGCAGAAGGUGCCAGCUGGAUUUUAUCCCUUCCACAAGGAGCCGCUCCUUCAAGGACACCCUGGGGGACCAUCUCCAAUCAAGAACUGAAAACCCCGCAGGGAUCGGCAGGCAGAAAGUAAGGAGAAUCCUGGAACUCUAUGGGUUGAUCUAGAAGAGUCCCGAGGAUAGCGUGUACCACUUAACACCCAACAGAAGAGGGAACCUGGAGAGCAGACUCCCAUUCUUUAUCUGCGACUCUGAAAUUAAGAAACAAACAAGCAAGCGAGCAAAACAGAAGCACAGUCUUCUCGCCCAGUCCCACUGCGAAGGGAAGGUUUGUUCAGAUCUCAUCCGAUUUACACUGGUAGCAGAAACAUGGAUGCAUCGAUUGAGUCAUGCAUGGAGCGGGGAUAUUAUAUGAGAUGUGGUGCACGGUCCUUCUACAUAGGGAUGGGUCUGGGCUUGAAUCACAUUCAGAUCUGCGAGCCUUGGCGAGGAACCGUGGGAGUAGGUUCACAGUAGUCUCGGCAGUCACCUUCCAAGAGUUGUGUUGCAAUCAGUGAGAGGUAUACGCCCCCAGCUAGCCUUGGUCUUGGGCCACUAGGGUUGUCAGAAUCCUUCAUUCCCAUCACCUGAUGGAGCCCCAUAGCCCAAGGUUCCCAUUGGAGGCUUAUGAACCAAAGAUUCCGAAACUCAGAAAGGCAUGACUCCCUCCUGGACUCAGCAAGAAUGGCCCAGCUGCCUGGUGCCUCUACCUCUCUCAGGUCAGUGAUGGUGACUCAAGACCCUUGUUCCCACCACAUGCCGUGGAACUGCAUGUUGAUACCAGCCUCGAGAACAUGGACGGUACUGAACCAUAAAGCUCCAGGGCAGCAGGGUUCUUGAACAAUAAUCCAAGCACUGCGCCGCCCCACCCUGCUCCAAUGUUGGCAGCUAAUUCAAGGUUAUCUCCAUUGCCCCAUCUCUGUCCAUUUCUCCCCCUUCAAAAUGCCUUCUACUGGGCUGGAGAGAUGGCUCAGCGGUUAGGAGCACUGGCCGCUCUUCCAGAGGUCCUGAGUUCAGUUCCCAGCAACCACCUGGUGGCUCACAACCAUCUGUAAUGAGAUCUGGUGCCUUCUUCUGGCCUGCAGGGACACAUUCAAGCAAAACACUUAUACAUAAUAAAUAAAUAAAUCUUUAAAAAAAUGCCUUCUGCUUUUGAACCCCCUGACGGCUGACCAGGAAAUCUAGUCUGUGACUUUGGGGCGACACCGGAGCUGGGAGAUAACUGCCUGUUCCUGCGCAUGGGUCAUACUGGGAGAAAGAAGAGAUAGAAAAAGGGAUUGGAUAAACACAGUGGCCUUAGUUCUACAGCCCUACCUGGCAGGUAUUCCAACACUCUCCCCCCACCCACCCAGCAGUGUCUUCUGGGAACUUCCCCUGGGCAGAGCAGCAGGUAGGACUCCCUGGGAUACAGGGACCUCACAGGAGCUCAAGUGCAAGACACAGAUUUGAACAGGCAGCACCACCGACCUGGCAUGUGUCACCUGGUACCAAUGUCGUUCCUGCUGCCAUGCCCAUCCCGGAGAAGCCCAGACUGACGGCAGAGCAUUCUGACCAAUGCUUGUCCCUCGAUGUCUCCAGUAGUUGUCCAGGAAGCGCAAUCUGCCACAACUCUGAUGGUUCCCAACUCUGAGCAGAAGGAAUGAGUUGACUGGGGUUUUCCAUUUUAGUCCAGCAGUUUCUAGCAGCCUUUCAGGAAGGGCCGUGAUGAAUGAUUCCUUUCUUCUUUCCAAGGUUUGGCAAAGGCACAGAGCCCAGCGGGAUCUGGUGUGGAGGCAGCUAGCUCUGGCAGUGACUAGCAGGCUUCUUAAAAUUAUUGGAGCAAGAUACAGGGUACAAGGGACUUCGCAGCAUGGCUGGGCCAUCAGAAAACCUACUUGAUGUGUUUAUCAAAAACAACUCUCUUAUUCUUGGUCCAUGACUUCUCUCAAGGUUUUCUGUUGACAGUGGAAAAAGUGGGGGCCGUGUUCUACUGCAGAACCUGCCUCCUGUUCUUCCAGGCUGAGGUGGACUGCACAUACCCUGCCUGAAUGACAAUGCAGAUGCCUCCCCCGGUGACACUGUGCUUUGAGACACUCUUACUGUGGCCUCGCGAUCUUUCUGCCGCCUCUCUCCAAGUUGUAGGAUUCUGAGUAUACACCAGAACACCUAGCUUACAGACCUAGCUUCCAAUUCUCACCAGUAAGAACUCCUGUGUCCAGAGGCUACUGUUCUGAAACUGACCCUCAGAUCCAGAGCCUCUCUAGAGAAUCAUGGGAAACCAUCUCUCAUCACCCAGGUGCAGAGACGCCCUCCUCACGGGAAGCUCAGAACUCAUGGGAAUAAGAAAAAUCAUCAACUAUCUACUUUCUCUGGGAAACAGAAUAGAUUCUGUUGACUUUUAUUUUCAAUUGCAUUACUCCCCUUGGUCCACCGGUUGAUUCACUAUUUUUUUUUCCAAGUUUCUGGAGGUGGAAGCUUUAUAGACCAGGCUGGCCUUGAACUCACAGAAGCCAACCUGGUCUACAAAGGGAGUUCCAGGACAGCCAGAACUGUUACACAGAGAAACCUUGUGUUAAAAAACAAACCAACAAAAACCAGAAAAACAAAACAAAAAGGAAAGGAAAAAAGGAACAAAUUGACGACUUCUUCUGAGAGAUAAUUUCACUUACUUUAAAAAACACACAGGAUGAUGAAGGAAUGGCUCAGUAGUUAUCAGCACACACUAUUCUUGCAGAGGACCCAAGUUCGAAUCCCAGUACCCACAACAGGCAAAGCACAAUUUGCCUGUAAUUGCAGCUCCAAGGGGCUUGCAGCUGCCGGCCUCCACAAGCAGCUGCGCUUGCUUACAUUUACGCCCACACAGACACAUUCACAUAGUCACAGUAAAUAUAAAAUAACAGAAACAUCUUUUUAGGGUCCAGAGAUAUGACUCAGUUGGUAAGGGGUUAUUACCAUGCAAGUCUGAGAAUCCAAGUUCGGAUCUCCAGCACCCAUGCAAGAAACGGGACACAGCCUCAUGUGCCUGCAAUUCCAGUGCUGGACGGGUAAUGAGAGAAAGAUGCCUGGGGCUUUGCUAGCUUCAGGCUCACUGAGAGAUCCUGUCUUAAAAAUGAGGUGGGGACUAACUGAGGAAGAUACCUGCCAUCAACCGUCAAUCCCUGGCCUCUUCACAUGACCCCACAAAUAAACACAUUUUUAAAUGAACAGAAAAUCUAUUAAUAUUGCACCCCAUUAGGAGCUCAGAAAAGGAAAGCACAUGCGUGUUACCAGCCUAGACUUAUUCAAUUUAUUUUACAUCAUCGUGGUCACUUUUUACAGCUGUUUGGACUUACUUUUUUCAAUCACAUUAUUGUUCACAGAAUUCACAGAAUUCAUUAACAAACUAGUAUUUUACAUCAGAGGGGUAUCAGUAGAAGAGCAGAAUAGAAAAGAUGCCCAUGAGCUCCAGUCUGAUUAGAUAGAGGUCUAGAACAUUAUUGCUUUAUUAGUCCUAUUUUUAAAAAUGAUAAAUUAUUCCUAGGAAACCCACCCUGUCAGAUGGUCUUCAUUCUGGUCACUCAUAUCUGAUUGGUAGGUACCCAGACCCAUAAGUCUGUGCUGUGCUGCUUCGGCAGUCCUGAGGGCUGGCUGAAGCCAAACAAUGCCCCUCUAUGUAUGUUUCUACAUAUAAAAAAAACCCGUAGAAGCAUUUUCUUUUCAUGUCUUUCUUUCUUUUUUUUAAUUGUCUCAGUCAGUAGCUCAGGCUGGCCUUGAACUCACUCUGUACCUCAGGCAAACCUUGAACUUAGAUCCUCCUGCCUCAGCCUCCCAAGUGGCUGAGAUUCCAGGCCUGUGCAUCAGGCCUUAGGGGCAGAAAGCUCUUCCACAGUUUCCUGUUUCUUCCCUGGUCUUGUGGCUAAUGGGCUGCAUUCACACAUGGGCCUCUAUGCAAAACUUGCUUAGAUCUAAACAAGGGUUCAAUAAAUGACUAAAGCUCCUAUGCAAGAAGCCACUGACCAUGCAAGGGAUACAUCUGAAGCAACAAAAAUAGCUCAAGUUUAAUGUGUGAGGAAUGCCUUAAAGAAAAUGUCCUUAAUGGUCAUCAUCCCGGGUGGCUGCUUAGCACUGGCUUGGCUUGUCAGUGACAUACACUUGAAGACUUCUAGCAGGCUUCAUGGCUGGGUUUUGUUUUUUCUUUUUUUUUAGUUCCAUUUAGGUUUCUAUUUUGAAAAAGGAUCUUGGAGAUUUCCUUGUG